rnacentral:lncRNA from 1 species
CCACAGUUCCGUGGUACUCGAUGCUAAUGCCGCAUCUUUGUUGCUUUCCCAGCCGGCUGCCUCCCCUUCACAGUCAAAGGCGAAGCAUCAGGCCUGCUGGCCCUGCCCAGUCACGUGGACGCCCAGGAGCAGAGGAGCAAUGACCCGCCAGAAGGCGCCGUGGGCUCUGGCCAUGCAACAGAACGUCACCAGCCAACAUCGAAGGCAAAGGUCCUGCUGCCCAGUGCCGUGCAAGGUGGACUGUGACAGAACAGUCUUCCUGAGACACACGGCUCACCUUGGAGAGGUGCGCCAGCACACAGCUUUUGCGGUACUUGCGGUGAAUUUGGAACUUCUUCCCUUACUUCAGAAGGAAGCCCUGUGUCUGCAGCUCCUGCUCCCCAAGUCCCUGCCCUAGCCUCCUGCCUCUGUCUCAAGUGAGCACCUUCUGUCUUGAUAUUUUACUAUUCUGAACUAGCAGUUAAAUCAAUCAUACAGAAGGUGGCUUUUUUCACUGAGCAUAAUGUUUGACAAGAUUUAUCCAUAUUGCAGCACAUACCUGAGCUUGAUUUCUUUUUAUGGCCACAUAAA